rnacentral:rRNA from 1 species
GAAAAGAAACCAACAGGGAUUGCCCUAGUAACGGCGAGUGAAGCGGCAACAGCUCAAAUUUGAAAUCUGGCUUCGGCCCGAGUUGUAAUUUGCAGAGGAUGUUUAUGGUGCGGUACCUUCCGAGUUCCCUGGAACGGGACGCCACAGAGGGUGAGAGCCCCGUCUGGUUGGAUACCAAACCUGUGUUAAACUCCUUCAACGAGUCGAGUAGUUUGGGAAUGCUGCUCUAAAUGGGAGGUAAAUCUCUUCUAAAGCUAAAUACUGGCCAGAGACCGAUAGCGCACAAGUAGAGUGAUCGAAAGAUGAAAAGCACCUUGAAAAGGGGGUUAAACAGUACGUGAAAUUGUUGAAAGGGAAGCGUUUAUGACCAGACUUGUGUCGUGUGGCUCAUCCGAGGUUCUCCCCGGUGCACUCCACACGGCUCAGGCCAACAUCGGUUCUUGUUGGAGGAUAAGAACAGUAGGAACGUAGCUCUCCUUCGGGGGAGUGUUAUAGCCUAUUGUACGAUACUCUGACGGGGACCGAGGACCGCGCUUCGGCUAGGAUGUUGGCGUAAUGGUCAUUAGCGACCCGUCUUGAAACACGGACCAAGGAGUCGUCCAUUAGAGCGAGCGUUUGGGUGUAAAACCCGCACGCGUAAUGAAAGUGAAAUUAGGUGAGAGCUUCGGCGCAUCAUCGACCGAUCCUGAAGUUUACGGAUGGAUUUGAGUAAGAGUUUUAACGGACGGACCCGAAAGACAGUGAACUAUGCUUGAAUAGGGUGAAGCCAGAGGAAACUCUGGUGGAGGCUCGCAGCGGUUCUGACGUGCAAAUCGAUCGUCAAAUUUGAGCAUGGGGGCGAAAGACUAAUCGAACUGUCUAGUAGCUGGUUACCGCCGAAGUUUCCCUCAGGAUAGCAGUGUUGACCUUCAGUUUUAUGAGGUAAAGCGAAUGAUUAGGGACUCGGGGGCGCUUAUUAGCCUUCAUCCAUUCUCAAACUUUAAAUAUGUAAGAAGCCCUUGUUACUUAAUUGAACGUGGGCAUUCGAAUGUACCAACACUAGUGGGCCAUUUUUGGUAAGCAGAACUGGCGAUGCGGGAUGAACCGAACGGGGGGUUAAGGCGCCAGAAUGUACGCUCAUCAGACACCACAAAAGGCGUUAGUACAUCUUGACAGCAGGACGGUGGCCAUGGAAGUCGGAAUCCGCUAAGGACUGUGUAACAACUCACCUGCCGAAUGUACUAGCCCUGAAAAUGGAUGGCGCUCAAGCGUACUGCCCAUACCCCCCCUUCAGGGUAGAAACGAUGCCCUGAAGAGUAGGCGGCCGUGGAGGUUGUGACGAAGCCUAGGGCGUGAGCCCGGGUCGAACAGCCUCUAGUGCAGAUCUUG